CCCAUAUAUUCUAUGUAUUUUCAGUGUUUGAGAUUUAAUUAUUAAAAUUACAAUAGAAGUAUUCUCUGGAACACAUUGUGUGCUAUGUGAGUGUGUAUCUUGUGCUCCACGCUUCAUCAGGUGGUAUCAAAGUUAGAAUGGCAACUGGCAGUGAAGGCAGUGGUUCCAAUGAUGGCAGUCGGAGACCUAGAGCCCUUGAACAAAGGGACGAUGCAUUGCAAUGUUUGGAGCAAUGUCUAGAGCAACAAAGGGACCACAAAUUCGGGCGUUUGGAAAGAUGUCUAAAGAAAUUGUUGACCAUCUCGAGGCUGUAGAAACCAAUGCAAACAGGGAUCGGGUGGAUGAUAGAAGGCCAAGGGAUAAUGCAGCCCAUGGGUGACCCUAUUGAACUGCCAAUUACUACACGAAGACACCCCGUCUACGAUGAGGACUUGGAGGAGAUGAUUAUGAACUCCAUGAUUUCCCUAGAUACCAAUGGCAAGGAGAGUAUGGGAGAGAGGUGCUUAUGGUUACGAUGAGUGGGCAAGCAAGGAUUUUCAACUCAAAGUUGAUAUUCCCAACUUCAAUGUAGUCUCAGCAUCGAAGGUUUCUUGGAUUGGAUAGCCGAUGUGGAUGAAAUUAGUGAGGAAUUCUUGGGAAAAUGGGAGAAACAGCAAGGGAAGAAGCAAAGGAAGAAAAAAGGGGCAAAAACAGGGUGUUCCAGCAGGGUUAGCAUUUUAGGACAGUGCAGUGCAUGCCCAGGGUGUGUACAAGGUCCCUAACGGACGUCCAGGGCAUGUGGUCUUUUGUCCAAAGGUUGCAGCUGCGUUUUUGGGCCAAUUUUCGUCUCCAGCAGUCCCAAGUCAUAUGGGACUUCUUGUUUUGCCAUAUUUUGACUGCAGAAAUUAGUUAAAAUUAAUUUAGGAGUUUUCCAACUCUAGUUAUAAUUUAUUUGUGUUUUCCUACUCUAGCAAGGAUUAGAUUAAUCCCUUUUUUAUUUCGAUUUCCCCAUGCAUUUAGGUUUAUCUAAACUUCCUAAUUAAUAGUUUCCUAUUCCUAUUUUGUUUAGGGGUUUUAAACUCUAUAAAUACCCCUAAAAUCUAUGUAUUUCUGUUAGCAUUCAUCAAUAAAAAUUUCUGCAGAAUUCUUUUCUUCAAAAUUCUCACUCUGUGUGUGGAGUGAGUGUUUUCUUUAAGCUACACUGUGUCAAAAACCAUCUUGAUCAUCUGUAUGCCCUGGAGCCAAGAUAUGCACCCAUGAAAUCAAUAGCUUGUAAUGUUUAAAUUGACUGACUGCAGACACUAUUUAUGAUAUUUGUUAUUAUGCGUUUUUCCAAUAUAUAUAAUGCAGACAAUGAAGAGUUGAAAUUUGUUUUUAAUAUUUUGGGAACUCAUCAACUUGUACUUACAAAUCCAAAUUAAUGACUAACCUACUUCUAAUGACUGCGAAAGAGAUGGAACUGUGAUAUGUUUCUUACGUCUUUUUUAUGUAAUAUGUUGGACAGUUGCUUUGUAU
rnacentral:misc_RNA from 1 species